CAUAGGCAUGCAGUCGACGGUAGAUACUCCUUCGGGGGUAUUGAGAGUGGCGAACGGGUGAGUAACACGUAGAUGAUCUACCCUCAAAUGGGGGACAACCCAGGGAAACUUGGGCUAAUACCGCAUGAGUGCAGCGCAUAAAUUAUCUUUUGCUGGGUAAUUUAUGCGCUGUAUAAAAGAUGGCUUUCGGGCUGUCGUUUGGGGAUGAGUCUGCGUCCUAUUAGUUAGUUGGUGAGGUAAUGGCUCACCAAGGCGAUGAUAGGUAGGCGGCCUUAACGGGUGGCCGCCCACACUGGGAUUGAGAUACGGCCCAGACUCCUACGGGAGGCAGCAGUCGAGAAUAGUCUACAAUGGACGAAAGUCUGAUAGUGCGACGCCGCGUGAACGAAGAAUCCCUUCGGGGUGUAAAGUUCUUUUAUAUGUGAGCAAUGCUUUUUAUGUGAAUAGCAUGAGAAGAGAGAUAUUAGCAUAUGAAUAAGCAACGGCUAACUCCGUGCCAGCAGCCGCGGUAACACGGGGGUUGCAAGCGUUGUCCGGAAUUACUAGGCGUAAAGGGCAGGUAGGCGGAUCCAUAAGUUUGAUGUUAAAGGCAGCGGCUCACCCGCUGUACGGCGUCAGAUACUGUGGAUCUGGAAUACGGUUGGGGAAGACAGAAUUCCUGGUGUAGCGGUGGAAUGCGCAGAGAUCAGGAGGAAUACCAAAGGCGAAGGCAGUCUUCUAAGCCGUUAUUGACGCUAA
rnacentral:rRNA from 1 species